rnacentral:rRNA from 1 species
GUGCAGCAGUCGCGAAACCUCCGCAAUGCACGCAAGUGCGACGGGGGAACCCCAAGUGCCACUCUUAACGGGGUGGCUUUUCAGAAGUGUAAAAAGCUUCUGGAAUAAGGGCUGGGCAAGACCGGUGCCAGCCGCCGCAGUAACACCGGCAGCUCAAGUGGUAGCCGCUUUUAUUGGGCCUAAAGCGUCCGUAGCCGGUCUGAUAAGUCUCUGGUGAAAUCCCACAGCUUAACUGUGGGAAUUGCUGGAGAUACUAUCAUGACUCGAGGUCGGGAGAGGCUGGAGGUACUCCCAGGGUAGGGGUGAAAUCCUGUAAUCCUGGGAGGACCACCUGUGGCGAAGGCGUCCAGCUGGAACGAACCUGACGGUGAGGGACGAAAGCCAGGGGCGCGAACCGGAUUAGAUACCCGUGUAGUCC